rnacentral:rRNA from 1 species
UACAGAGGUCCCAAGCGUUGUUCGGAUUCACUGGGCGUAAAGGGUGCGUAGGUGGUGAGGUAAGUCGGAUGUGAAAUCUCCGAGCUCAACUCGGAAAUGGCAUUGGAAACUACCUUGCUUGAGGGUUGGAGGGGGGACUGGAAUACUUGGUGUAGCAGUGAAAUGCGUAGAUAUCAAGUGGAACACCAGUGGCGAAGGCGGGUUGCUGGGCUGACACUGACGCUGAGGCGCGAAAGCUAGGGGAGCGAACGGG